ensembl:lncRNA
UUUAGAGUGUCGGAGUGGCAGCCAGGCAUGGUGAUGCAGGCCUGUAAUCCUAGCACUGUGGGCUGCUGAGACGGGGGUCGCAGAUUCGAGCCCUGCCUGGACAAUUUACCGAUUUAGUCAGACUUUGUCUCAAAAUUUAAAAAGGGUUGAGGGUGUAGUUCACUGGGAUCAGUCUCCAGUACCAACAAAAGAAAAAAAAAAGCCGCUGGGUAGAAGUGGGCUCACAAAUUGCUGGGACUGAAUACACCUGUGUAGAUGGUGCCCCGUUUGAUCACUGAGCUGUUUAAACUAGGGUUACUUUGACCGCUGGAAUACGGCACGUCUCAUGCAGAAGACAUGGGCACUGGUGGCAGCUUUCCACAGCGUUGUCUUAGACUGUAUGUGCUGGGGAAGCCAGGCACUGUGGAAAGGUCCAGAAGAAUGAAAGUCUCUACCAGAAGACAGCACCAACUUGCCAGCCAUGCUGGCCUUGAACUCAGGGAGAUCCUCCUGCCUCAACUUCUCCAGGGCUGUGAUUACAGGCGUGUGCCACCAUGCCUG